AUGAAGAUGCCUCUUAAAGUUAAGGCAUUCUCUUGGUUAGUAAUAAAAAAUAAGAUUCUGACCAAGGACAAUCUGAGUAAAAAAGGCUGGAAAGGUGCUAAGUUUUGUGAAUUUUGUGACUGUGAAGAGAGUGUGAAUCAUUUAUUUUUCUCUUGUUCCUUAGCUAAGUUCCCGUGGAAUAUUGUGGGAUGUGCUCUAGGGAGCCAGAGAGCACCAAUGUCUUUUUUUGACUUAUGCCAGAACUGGUUGUCUAGCUAUACUGGCAAAGAUAGAGUAAUUGUUUUAUUGGGUACUGCUGCUCUCUUGUGGUCUAUAUGGAAAACAAGGAACAAAUCCUGUUUUCAAAGUGUCAUGCCUUCAGGUUCUACUGACAUUAUCUUUUUUGUUUGUUCCCUACUUGACUCAUGGAAAAAUCUGCAGAAAAGAGGGGUGCAAAGCAUGCUUCAUUAG
rnacentral:rRNA from 1 species